GGAUUCGGCACUUCCGGUGAGCCUCUGGGGCGUACCGGCUUGGCGCGGCGGCAGCGGCGGCUAGGAGAGCGGUCGACGGGGUUCCUUCGUUGCAUUGCCCGAGAGAAGCAGAGUCUGCGAGGUGGUGUCCAUCAUGUUCUCUUUCAACAUGUUCGACCACCCGAUUCCCAGGGUCUUCCAAAACCGCUUCUCCACACAGUACCGCUGCUUCUCUGUGUCCAUGCUAGCAGGGCCUAAUGACAGGUCAGAUGUGGAGAAAGGAGGGAAGAUAAUUAUGCCGCCCUCAGCCCUAGACCAACUCAGCCGACUUAACAUUACCUAUCCCAUGCUGUUCAAACUGACCAAUAAGAAUUCGGACCGCAUGACGCAUUGUGGCGUGCUGGAGUUUGUGGCUGAUGAGGGCAUCUGCUACCUCCCACACUGGAUGAUGCAGAACUUACUCUUGGAAGAAGGCGGCCUGGUCCAGGUGGAGAGCGUCAACCUUCAAGUGGCCACCUACUCCAAAUUCCAACCUCAGAGCCCUGACUUCCUGGACAUCACCAACCCCAAAGCCGUAUUAGAAAACGCACUUAGGAACUUUGCCUGUCUGACCACCGGGGAUGUGAUUGCCAUCAACUAUAAUGAAAAGAUCUACGAACUGCGUGUGAUGGAGACCAAACCCGACAAGGCAGUGUCCAUCAUUGAGUGUGACAUGAACGUGGACUUUGAUGCUCCCCUGGGCUACAAAGAACCCGAAAGACAAGUCCAGCAUGAGGAGUCGACAGAAGGUGAAGCCGACCACAGUGGCUAUGCUGGAGAGCUGGGCUUCCGCGCUUUCUCUGGAUCUGGCAAUAGACUGGAUGGAAAGAAGAAAGGGGUAGAGCCCAGCCCCUCCCCAAUCAAGCCUGGAGAUAUUAAAAGAGGAAUUCCCAAUUAUGAAUUUAAACUUGGUAAGAUAACUUUCAUCAGAAAUUCACGUCCCCUUGUCAAAAAGGUUGAAGAGGUGAGUGUAUUUCAUUGUAUUUCCUUGGUUGGUAAUGAGGAGAUUUAUUUGCUAGUGAUGACUGAAGUUCUUGGCAUUCUGAGUAGGGGUGUGCAUUAGUCUGUUUCCAAGCUGCUGGUAAAGACAUACCCGAGACUGGGCAAUUUACAAAAGAAAGAGGUUUAAUGGACUUACAGUUCACAUGGCUGGGGAGGCCUCACAAUCAUGGCAGAAGUUAAGGAGGAGCAAGUCACAUCUUAUAUGGAUGGUAGCAGGCAGAGAAAAAGCUGGUGCAGGGAAACACCUCCUUAUAAAACCAUCAGAUCUCAUGAGACUUAUUCACUAUCACGAUAACAGCACGGAAAAGACCCGCCCUCAUGACUCAGUUACCUCCCAGCUGGUCCCUCCCACAACACAUGGGAAUUCAAGAUGAGAUUUGGGUGGGGCGCAGCCAAACCACAUCAGGGUGUCUGUCAUGUUUUCCCUUUCCUAGGGUCCCUCUGCUCCCUGAUAUCCUGUUUGUUUUCUGUAGAGCUGGUGUGGGGUGUGUGAAACAGAAGACUUGCAGCAUGGGGGUUAGGAGCUCUGUCUUGCUCUAGAGCUGACUCCAGGCUCUGUUAUCACGGAACUGUGUGCCCUGGGUGGGCUUCAUCUUCCAACAGAGACCUUGAACUUCAAAUAUAGGCAGCACCUUCUAGCUGAGCAGGGUGGUGGGACAGAGGAAGGCAAGGGCUGAGCAUCCUGUAGACAUGGGCACUUUGUGGGAGUGUGGCCAGGCCCGGCAGCAACUGGAAUGCAGUCACCUCUGUGUGAUGAGGAUUUCUACAACACCAGCGCUUCAGACCCAUCGCUCUCCUGGUUCCUUUUCUCAAAGGAUUGGACCCUUGAGGAUCCAGGAGUAGGGCAGAGGGCAGAUGUACUGAGCCACCCAUUCAGGACCAGCUGCUACAUGGGACCCAUCCUGAUUACUGAACUUUUCUCUCUAGCACUUGGGGUGGUUGGGGACAGAGACCACUGUGAAGUUUGCACACCUGGUCCUACUCACAACCACUUCUGGGCUCAAUGUUCAAGUUGAAACAGCAUUGGGCAUUGGGACCUUUCAGGCUCAGAGGAGCAAACAUAGUGGCCAGUCAGACCUCACCCUCCAGCUCCUCCUUCAGGCACCAUCCAGGCUUCACCAGCUACAGGCUGCCUUUCUCACUAAAAGCCAGUGCCUGACUCAGACCUAAGACCUCAGCAUGGGAUGUCCCCCAGGCUGACUGUGACCUGACUGUUGCAAAUUUACAGAAGGCAGGGGAGGCCAGUGGGCACAGCAGGCCUGUUUGACCAUAAAUAUGUAUUUAAGAAGUAUAUGUUUAAAGAUGGGAUUGAAGACAUAUUUAGCUCUACUCCAUCCUGCAGCCCCACUAAGGCUGUGGCUAAAGGUCAUGAGGUAAGAAAGACAGUGGAAGAGGAGGCAACUACAAGGCUUUGGAAGCCCCAGGUACCUUAGUAGACCAUAGAAAGCCUAGAAGCAGUUAUGUGUAGAUUGUAGAAUUCUCAAAAGGCACCUCUAGAAAUGAGGGACUAAAGACAGAAUUCUGUUACUAAGCAGUUAGAGCUGCAUUACCCUCCCUCCCCGACCCCAGAAGGCUGGAGGCUCGACUCCAGUAGGUCUCUAGACUACUACCUCUGAAGUGAAGGCCACAGUCAGAAAGCUUCCCAUUCUAACAUCUAAAUAAUAGAGGAUUUGUGGGAAGAACAGCCACAGAAACCAAAGGAGCAGAAAUCAUCAGGGAAGUAGUUUCCCCAAAGAUGGGCACAAGUUUGCAGAUUUGAAGGGCUCACUGAGUUCCAGCAAAAUGAAUGAAAAUAGCCCCACUUUGAGGCAAAGAAAGAUCCUAAAGCUUCUGGAGAGAGCACAGAGGUAUCAUCAUGCAUCAAGGACAUCAUCAGCCAAGCGCCAUGGCUCACACCUGCCUCCCAAAGUGCUGGGAUUACAGGUGUCAGCUAUCGUGUCCAGCCUGAGAUAUUUCUUAUGAGUAAUGUGGAUGGUACGUGAGUCCAUAGAGUAAGGCAUUUAUUGUAAACCUCCAGGGAGUUUCUGAAAAUAGUAUCUUCUCUUCACACCUAGGAUGAAGCUGGAGGCAGAUUCGUCGCUUUCUCUGGAGAAGGACAGUCGUUGCGUAAAAAGGGAAGAAAGCCCUAAGUGAGGACUGUUGGCUGAUUGGAAAAUAAUAAAAGAAUCAUUUGCAACA